rnacentral:rRNA from 1 species
AGCGGCGGACGGGUGAGUAAUGCUUAGGAAUCUGCCAUUUAGUGGGGGACAACAUUCCGAAAGGAAUGCUAAUACCGCAUACGUCCUACGGGAGAAAGCAGGGGAUCUUCGGACCUUGCGCUAAAUGAUGAGCCUAAGUCGGAUUAGCUAGUUGGUGGGGUAAAGGCCUACCAAGGCGACGAUCUGUAGCGGGUCUGAGAGGAUGAUCCGCCACACUGGGACUGAGACACGGCCCAGACUCCUACGGGAGGCAGCAGUGGGGAAUAUUGGACAAUGGGCGGAAGCCUGAUCCAGCCAUGCCGCGUGUGUGAAGAAGGCCUUUUGGUUGUAAAGCACUUUAAGCGAGGAGGAGGCUACCUGGAUUAAUACUCUGGGAUAGUGGACGUUACUCGCAGAAUAAGCACCGGCCAACUCUGUGCCAGCAGCCGCGGUAAUACAGAGGGUGCGAGCGUUAAUCGGAUUUACUGGGCGUAAAGCGUGCGUAGGCGGCUUUUUAAGUCGGAUGUGAAAUCCCCGAGCUUAACUUGGGAAUUGCAUUCGAUACUGGGAAGCUAGAGUAUGGGAGAGGAUGGUAGAAUUCCAGGUGUAGCGGUGAAAUGCGUAGAGAUCUGGAGGAAUACCGAUGGCGAAGGCAGCCAUCUGGCCUAAUACUGACGCUGAGGUACGAAAGCAUGGGGAGCAAACAGGAUUAGAUAUCCUGGUAGUCCAUGCUGUAAACGAUGUCUACUAGU